rnacentral:rRNA from 1 species
GAUGAACGCUAGCGAUAGGCUUAACACAUGCCAGUCGAGGGGCAGCAUGGUCUUAGCUUGCUAAGACUGAUGGCGACCGGCGCACGGGUGCGUAACGCGUAUGCAACUUGCCUCACAGAGGGGGAUAACCCGUCGAAAGACGGACUAAUACCGCGUACACUCUAUUUUGGGCAUCCAAGGUAGAGGAAAUGAAAUUCGCUGUGAGAUAGGCAUGCGUCCCAUUAGCUAGUUGGUGAGGUAACGGCUCACCAAGGCGACGAUGGGUAGGGGAACUGAGAGGUUGAACCCCCACACUGGUACUGAGACACGGACCAGACUCCUACGGGAGGCAGCAGUGAGGAAUAUUGGUCAAUGGGCGAGAGCCUGAACCAGCCAAGUCGCGUGAAGGAUGACUGUCUUAUGGAUUGUAAACUUCUUUUGUAGGGGAAUAAAGAGGGGCACGUGUGCCCCAGUGAAUGUACCCUACGAAUAAGCAUCGGCUAACUCCGUG